AGUGGCGAACGGGUGAGUAACACGUGAGUAACCUGCCCUUGACUCUGGGAUAAGCACUGGAAACGGUGUCUAAUACCGGAUACGACCUCCAACCGCAUGGUUCGGGGGUGGAAAGAAUUUUGGUCAAGGAUGGACUCGCGGCCUAUCAGCUAGUUGGUGAGGUAAUGGCUCACCAAGGCGACGACGGGUAGCCGGCCUGAGAGGGUGACCGGCCACACUGGGACUGAGACACGGCCCAGACUCCUACGGGAGGCAGCAGUGGGGAAUAUUGCACAAUGGGCGAAAGCCUGAUGCAGCAACGCCGCGUGAGGGACGACGGCCUUCGGGUUGUAAACCUCUUUUAGUAGGGAAGAAGCGAAAGUGACGGUACCUGCAGAAAAAGCACCGGCUAACUACGUGCCAGCAGCCGCGGUAAUACGUAGGGUGCAAGCGUUAUCCGGAAUUAUUGGGCGUAAAGAGCUCGUAGGCGGUUUGUCGCGUCUGCUGUGAAAACUGGAGGCUCAACCUCCAGCCUGCAGUGGGUACGGGCAGACUAGAGUGCGGUAGGGGAGAUUGGAAUUCCUGGUGUAGCGGUGGAAUGCGCAGAUAUCAGGAGGAACACCAAUGGCGAANGCAGAUCUCUGGGCCGUAACUGACGCUGANGAGCGAAAGCAUGGGGAGCGAACAGGAUUAGAUACCCUGGUAGUCCAUGCCGUAAACGUUGGGAACUAGAUGUAGGGGCCAUUCCACGGUUUCUGUGUCGCAGCUAACGCAUUAAGUUCCCCGCCUGGGGAGUANGGCCGCAAGGCUAAACUCAAAGGAAUUGANGGGGCCCGCACAAGCGGCGGANCAUGCGGAUUAAUUCGAUGCAACGCGAGAACCUUACC
rnacentral:rRNA from 1 species